UACAGAGGUCUCAAGCGUUGUUCGGAUUCACUGGGCGUAAAGGGUGCGUAGGUGGCGAGGUAAGUCGGAUGUGAAAUCUCCGAGCUCAACUCGGAAAUGGCAUUGGAAACUACCUUGCUCGAGGGUUGGAGGGGGGACUGGAAUACUUGGUGUAGCAGUGAAAUGCGUAGAUAUCAAGUGGAACACCAGUGGCGAAGGCGAGUCCCUGGACAACUCCUGACACUGAGGCACGAAAGCUAGGGGAGCAAACAGG
rnacentral:rRNA from 1 species